AUUCCAGCUCCAAUAGCGUAUAUUAAAGUUGUUGCAGUUAAAAAGCUCGUAGUUGGAUUUCUGUUCUCGAGGAUCGGUCCGCCUCACGGUGAGCACUGGUUUUUCUUGGGGACAUCCUCUCGAAGGCGGGUGGUGCACUUAAUUGUGUGCUGCUUGGAUUCGGGACCUUUACUUUGAAAAAAUUAGAGUGUUCAAAGCAGGCGUCGGCUUGAAUACAUUAGCAUGGAAUAAUGGAAUGGGACUUUGGUUCUAUUUUGUUGGUUUCGAACACCGGAGUAACGAUUAACAGGGACAGUCAGGGGCACUCGUAUUCCGCCGAGAGAGGUGAAAUUCUCAGACCAGCGGAAGACGAACCACUGCGAAAGCAUUUGCCAGGGAUGUUUUCAUUA
rnacentral:rRNA from 1 species